CGGCGCACCUGCGCACUGUGGCUGCCCGCAGCGAGGCUAUGCCUGCUGUGGACUGAGCACCUAGAUGUCGCGAACUCCUAACCUUUGACCUUGGCGAGAGGCUUUGCGGGCAAGACAAGCGCAGGGCCCGGGAGGUGCGGCGUUUGUCCCAGGCUAGCCUGCCCCACGGUGGGGCAGUGUCUUCUUAUGCCCAGUUGCAUAUGGCCCUCGGGCCAGGUCUCUGGAAGCGGAGAUUACCUGGCCUCGUCAGUGGGAAUGAGGGGAAGCCCUGGGCAGCCAUGUGCGGCUCCCUUCUUGAGGGGUCUGCAGCCUGCUCACCCACUUCAGUGCAUCCAGCCAGGUGCUGAGGGGAAGGCAGACCAAAGCCCUCACAGGAAAUGCCAACACUGCCAGAUUAACUGCUGA
rnacentral:lncRNA from 1 species